rnacentral:lncRNA from 9 species
ACCAUGCAAAGAGCCUGGACUGUUCCUGUCACUUACCCACUCUAGGCCACUAAAACGAAGGUGAUAACACCUGCCUGGCUGGUUCUGAGAAAGAGAGAAGAUGGAUAAUGUGUGUGAAGGACCUGUCACAAUCCCAGGUAAAAAGAAGCAAGAAUGAAGAAUUAAGCAGUUAAACAAUGACUAGCUCUCCACCGCCAACAGCUCUAUUAGCAAUCCUGCAGGCACAUCCCUCGAGCAAGAUCACACCUGAAGGGUCGACCAGUCUGCAUACAAUGGAGAAGGAUGCUGACCCCAAUCUCCAGCCUCAAAGAUUCUCUGAGGUUCUCCCCCGCCAUCAUUUUUCCCUUUAAAAAUUGUCACGACUGAGCAGAAUCUUCUGAGUUGGUCUCUGGACACAAGUCUAUUGUCUCCUCAGAUUGCCCGCUUUUCAGAGGAAAACACCUCUCCUUUCUACUGACCUCACCUCUUGAAUCGCUGCCUUCUGAGGGGUGAGCAGCCGAACCCAGAUUAAAACAAGUAAGAAUGAAGACUGAAGUAGUUAAAGAAUAACCAGCUCUCUACCCUCAACAGCUCCCUUAGCAAUCCCGCAGGCUGGCAGGCUGAUCACCUGGGCAAGAUCCCGUUGGAAGACAGACGGAGCCAGCCAGUCUGCACGCAAUGGAGGAUGAUGCAGAAUCCAACCUCCUGCCUCACUGAUUCACUGAGAUUCUUUCCUUUUUUCCCUUCAAAAGGUGUCAGGGCUGAACAGAAUCUCUAUAGCUGGUCUCAGGACGUAAGUCCAUCUUCUCCCCAGAUUGCUGACUUUUCUUCUAAGUCAAGUAUCUUUCCUUUCUCCCUAUAUUUGCCUCUUGAUUAUUGGCUUUGGAGUGUGGUAAUAUAAUCAGGUUUAGAUUGGGUUAUGAAAGUAGGACCUUCCUGAUAGGAUCAGUGCCCUUAGAGGAAGAGGGAGAGGGAUCUCUCUCCAGUCACAAGCAAGGCCAGUGAGCACACAGAGGUAGGGUGGACACCUGCAAUCUGGAAGCCAAUCUGCUGGCACUAUCUUCCAGCAUCCAGAACUGUGAGAAAUAAGGUCUGCUGUUGAAGCCCCCUGUGUGUAGUAUUUUAUUAUAGCAGCCUGAACUGACUGAGAUACUUGGUAACACAUGAAUGCUAGCUACUUUGAUCAUUUAUGAAAUUUGGAGAUUAACAGCUGUUUUAUCUUAUUCAGUUGACCCUGAAAUAUAUUUUCUUUAUAUUAAAAUAUAUUUUCUUUAUAUUAAAACAAUUUAUAUUAA